rnacentral:rRNA from 1 species
CCUACGGGAGGCAGCAGUGGGGAAUUUUGGACAAUGGGGGCAACCCUGAUCCAGCCAUUCCGCGUGAGUGAAGAAGGCCUUCGGGUUGUAAAGCUCUUUCGCAAGAGAAGAAAACUUGCUAUCUAAUAAAUAGUAAGUAUGACGGUAUCUUGACAAGAAGCACCGGCUAACUACGUGCCAGCAGCCGCGGUAAU